AUUGAACGCUGGCGGCAGGCCUAACACAUGCAAGCCGAGCGGAGGAAGGGAGCUUGCUCCUGGAUUCAGCGGCGGACGGGUGAGUAAUGCCAAGGAAUCUGCCCGGUCGUGGGGGAUAACGUCCGGAAACGGGCGCUAAUACCGCAUCCGUUCUGAGGUAGGAGGUGGAGGAUGUUCGGACCUCACGCCUUCCGAUGAGCCUAGGUCGGAUUGGCUAGUCGGUGGGGUAAAGGCCUACCAAGGCGACGAUCCGUAACUGGUCUGAGAGGAUGAUCAGUCACACUGGAACUGAGACACGGUCCAGACUCCUACGGGAGGCAGCAGUGGGGAAUAUUGGACAAUGGGCGCAAGCCUGAUCCAGCCAUGCCGCGUGGGUGAAGAAGGUCUUCGGAUUGUAAAGCCCUUUAAGUUGGGAAGAAGGGCAGCAAGUUAAUACCUUGCUGGGAUGACGUUACCAGAAGAAUAAGCACCGGCUAACUUCGUG
rnacentral:rRNA from 1 species